AUGGACAAUGGUAUCGGAUCGGUGGACCGGCCCAAGGCGGUACGAAACGGCGUGGUGGCGUGCCCCGCGGCCUUCCACACGUCAUCACCGGCGCCCACGAUCCCCUCCGCCGAGGCCACGCUGGGCAGUCACCUUGCGCGGCGGCUGGUGGAGGUGGGCGUCAGCGACGUGUUCGCGGUGCCGGGCGACUUCAACCUGACCCUCCUCGACCACCUCAUCGCCGAGCCCGGCCUGCGCCUCGUCAGCUGCUGCAACGAGCUCAACGCGGGCUACGCCGCCGACGGGUACGCGCGCGCCAAGGGCGUGGGCGCCUGCGCCGUCACCUUCACCGUUGGCGGCCUCAGCGUGCUCAACGCCAUCGCCGGCGCCUACAGCGAGAACCUUCCCGUGAUCUGCGUCGUCGGCGGGCCCAACUCCAACGACCACGGCAGCAACCGCAUCCUCCACCACACCAUCGGCCUCCCCGACUUCUCCCAGGAGCUCCGCUGCUUCCAGCCCGUGACAUGCCACCAGGUCGUCAUCAACAACCUGGACGACGCUCACGAGCAGGUCGAUAAGGCCAUCGCGACGGCUCUCAGGGAGAGCAAGCCCGUCUACAUCAGCGUCGCCUACAACCUCCCUGGCGUCUCCCACCCCACCUUCUUCGGCAACCCCAUCCCCUACUGCAUCGUCCCGAGGCAGAGCAGCCAGAUGGGACUCGAGGCGGCGCUGGAUGCGACGGUGGAGUUCCUCAGCAAGGCAGUGAAGCCGGUCAUGGUGGCGGAGCCGAAGCUCCGGGUGGCCAAGGCGGCCGCGGCGUUCGCGAGCGGGUACGCGGUGGCGACGAUGCCGUCGGCGAAGGGGCUGGUGCCGGAGACGCUGCCGCGGUUCAUCGGGACCUACUGGGGCGCGGUCAGCACGUCCUUCUGCGUGGAGAUGGUGGAGUCGGCGGACGCGUACCUCAUCGCCGGCCCCAUCUUCAACGACCAGAGCUCCGUGGGGUACUCGUUCCUGCUCAACAAGGAGAAGGCGGUGAUUGUGCAGCCCGAGCGCGUCACCGUCGGCAACGGCCCGACGUUCGGGUGCGUCAUGAUGAAGGACUUCCUGUCGGGGCUAGCCAAGCGCGUGAGCAUGAAGAGGAACACCACGGCAUUCGACAACUACAAGAGGAUCUUUGUACCGCAGGGGCAGCCGCUGGAGACUGAGCCCGGCGAGCAGCUGCGCGUCAACGUGCUGUUCAAGCACAUCCAGCAGAUGUUCACCGGUGACAGCGCCGUGAUCGCCGAGGCCGGCGACUCAUGGUUCAACUGCCAGAAGCUCAAAAGCUCCCUGACGGCUGCGGGUGCGAGUUCCAGAUGCAGUACGGGUCCAUCGGGUGGUCCGUCGGGGCGUUGCUAG
rnacentral:rRNA from 1 species